AGUGAACGCUGGCGGUAGGCCUAACACAUGCAAGUCGAACGGCAGCACAGUAAGAGCUUGCUCUUACGGGUGGCGAGUGGCGGACGGGUGAGGAAUACAUCGGAAUCUACUUUUUCGUGGGGGAUAACGUAGGGAAACUUACGCUAAUACCGCAUACGACCUACGGGUGAAAGCAGGGGAUCUUCGGACCUUGCGCGAUUGAAUGAGCCGAUGUCGGAUUAGCUAGUUGGCGGGGUAAAGGCCCACCAAGGCGACGAUCCGUAGCCGGUCUGAGAGGAUGAUCAGCCACACUGGAACUGAGACACGGUCCAGACUCCUACGGGAGGCAGCAGUGGGGAAUAUUCGGCAAUGGGCGAAAGCCUGAUCCAGCCAUACCGCGUGGGUGAAGAAGGUCUUCGGGUUGUAAAGCCCUUUUGUUAGGAAAGAAAAACAGUGUGUUUAACUCCCCCCGUUUUGACGGUACCCAAAGAAAAAGCCACGGCUAACUUCGUG
rnacentral:rRNA from 1 species